rnacentral:rRNA from 1 species
UACGGGAGGCAGCAGUGGGGAAUUUUGCGCAAUGGACGAAAGUCUGACGCAGCAACGCCGCGUGAGUGAUGAAGGUUUUCGGAUCGUAAAGCUCUGUCAAGAGGGAAGAAACCUCCAAUGGCUAAUACCUGUUGGAAUUGACGGUACCUCUAGAGGAAGCACCGGCUAACUCCGUGCCAGCAGCCGCGGUAA